rnacentral:rRNA from 1 species
GAACGCUGGCGGCGUGCUAAUACAUGCAAGUCGAGCGAACAGACGAGGAGCUUGCUCCUCUGACGUUAGCGGCGGACGGGUGAGUAACACGUGGAUAACCUACCUAUAAGACUGGGAUAACUUCGGGAAACCGGAGCUAAUACCGGAUAAUAUAUUGAACCGCAUGGUUCAAUAGUGAAAGACGGUUUUGCUGUCACUUAUAGAUGGAUCCGCGCCGCAUUAGCUAGUUGGUAAGGUAACGGCUUACCAAGGCAACGAUGCGUAGCCGACCUGAGAGGGUGAUCGGCCACACUGGAACUGAGACACGGUCCAGACUCCUACGGGAGGCAGCAGUAGGGAAUCUUCCGCAAUGGGCGAAAGCCUGACGGAGCAACGCCGCGUGAGUGAUGAAGGUCUUCGGAUCGUAAAACUCUGUUAUUAGGGAAGAACAAAUGUGUAAGUAACUAUGCACGUCUUGACGGUACCUAAUCAGAAAGCCACGGCUAACUACGUGCCAGCAGCCGCGGUAAUACGUAGGUGGCAAGCGUUAUCCGGAAUUAUUGGGCGUAAAGCGCGCGUAGGCGGUUUUUUAAGUCUGAUGUGAAAGCCCACGGCUCAACCGUGGAGGGUCAUUGGAAACUGGAAAACUUGAGUGCAGAAGAGGGAAGUGGAAUUCCAUGUGUAGCGGUGAAAUGCGCAGAGAUAUGGAGGAACACCAGUGGCGAAGGCGACUUUCUGGUCUGUAACUGACGCUGAUGUGCGAAAGCAUGGGGAUCAAACAGGAUUAGAUACCCUGGUAGUCCACGCCGUAAACGAUGAGUGCUAAGUGUUAGGGGGUUUCCGCCCCUUAGUGCUGCAGCUAACGCAUUAAGCACUCCGCCUGGGGGUACGACCGCAAGGUU